rnacentral:rRNA from 1 species
AGACUUUGAUCCAUGGCUCAGAACGAACGCUGGCGGCAGGCCUAACACAUGCAAGUCGAACGCGUGCCUUCGGGCACGAGUGGCGGACGGGUGAGUAACGCGUGGGAAUUUGCCUUGGGGUACGGAAUAACCGCGGGAAACUGCGGCUAAUACCGUAUACGUCCUUCGGGAGAAAGAUUUAUCGCCCCAAGAUGAGCCCGCGUCCGAUUAGGUACGUUGGUGAGGUAACGGCUCACCAAGCCUUCGAUCGGUAGGCUGGUCUGAGAGGAUGAUCAGCCACACUGGGACUGAGACACGGCCCAGACUCCUACGGGAGGCAGCAGUGGCGGAAUAUUGGACAAUGGGGGAAACCCUGAUCCAGCCAUGCCGCGUGAGCUGGAGAAGGCCUUACGGUUGUAAAGCUCUUUCGGUGCGUGACGAUGAUGACCCGUAGCCCACAGAAGAAGCCCCGGC